AUUGAAUUUAAUGAGCUGCGUAUAAAAAGGAGGCUGAUUUGCAUUUGGAAAUCAUUCCAAAUCUUCCCUCAAUCUAUCGAUCAAUUUCGGUUUCACUUCUGGAAAAACUUGAUUCCCGCAUCCCGUCAUAAUGAAAAUUGGCUUUGUCGCCAUUUUCGCCAUGUCGCUGAUCUUCUCAACGGAUGCGCAAGUCCCACAAGAUUUCUGUUCCGAGAUGACAGACGCCUGCCUUGCUGAUGGUGGAGUUACACUUAUAAGAUGCGGGGAUAUCCAAUCCAAUACGGUGAUUUGUACCAAUCCGCAGUCUGGCGGCAGUUUCGACGCGAGGUGCCGCGCUUUUGGACCGAACUGUGUAGUCACAAUGGUUGGGAUUGAGCGUUGGUGCACGUGCAGAGGUCAAUGACCAAUUGUCUUUGGAAGUUUGAACUUGUUUGAGGAUUAAUGGCAAUGAGUAAAUCUGGACAAAAAAUAAAAUAAAUUUAUUUGAGCAGUACGUACUAUUCGACGAUUAUGUACAUAUGUAUCAUCCUAUGUACUUAGGCGAGCAAAUGUCACCACAUUUGCAUAAAUCUCACUGUGCCCAUUUUUGUCAAUACAUAUUUCAUGCUGAAAUAAACUAUCUGUCUCGCGAAUGCGUCCAAA